ACUUUUCAAUAUUUAUUUAUUUAUCGUCUUGGACAAGGAAGUAGAAAACAGUGUAAUUGAGUUUAUAUAAGACUGCUAAAUAUGGAGUGCAGUCGGUCCGUAUAAGGGUAGGACUGCUGUUCAGAAAGAGCUGGAGGAGUGGUCUGGAGUGAACCUCAUGAAGUUCUGCAGGGACAACAGGGUGUCCUGUGCUAGGAUGAGUGGACUAAGACCCUGCAGUGGCGUAGGCUGAGGACUGCCUGGCAAGAGAGUAGCUCUGCUAAAAGACACUGUUCAGAAGGAGAUCAGCAGCUUUGUGGCCAAGUGUGAAGAUGACAGUGUUGAAAAUGAAGGAGUUUCACACCGUGAUUCCCAAGAAGUACUGAAUGUCUUGCUCUUUGUGGCAGCCACGUAGGGGAGAAUCUUAGGUCAUAAAUAAUUGCCUUGUGACCCAAACGACGGUUUGAACCAGUGGAAGAGAAUUCAGUAGUGGAAGAGCAGCUAUCUGUUCUCCUGGAAGCAUUCCAGAAGCACUAAAGUUGCCCAUAAAGUGAUGUUUUGAAGACUAGUCCAGCUGUUUCCAGUGCCUAUUUUUCAUUCCUUGGAGUGGACGGCCUCCUUUUUGAAUGUUGCUGCAUGGAGGUAAAUAAGUUAAAUCAUGAACAAAAAUCUCUUCGUAUUGUUUUGUAUCAGUUUUUAAUGACCAGCAAUCUACUAACAAAAGUCUUGUAACUGAUUGGUAGAAUCUUAAAAUGGCCCAGGCUGGAAAGGACCCCAGAAGAUGAUCAGGAACAACCUUUAGAGACUAACAACCUUUCAGACAUAAACAAAGUCGUAUUCAUAAAUGUAGAUAAACAAAAUCUGAUCAGCUUUCUCUGUAACUUUUGGAUCAAUACGCGUACAGUCGGGAGAGAGAUGAUUCAUCCUUCAGCAGUUUCAAAUAGGUGGAAGUUUGAAUUUGCUAUGUUUUGGGAUCUCCAACAGGAACUCGGUGCUCCAGACAAGUAUUCUCAAAGAUAGCUAUCUGCUGGAGUCAGUAGAAGACUGGAAAACUGUGAUCAUCUCCUGCUGGUGGUUGACUUUAAGAUGAAGCUGUGGUUUGGUUUGUUCUUAGAUAUGAACAGGGCUGCUGCUGCUGUUAGGACUGUUUUGUUUUCCUUGAACUUUUGAUAUUUCUGGGGAGAGGAGUUAUUUUAUGUCUUAGCUACUGCUUCACAUUAUGCUAUGAGAACGUCAGCCUAUCCAUUUCUAAAGAAGAGUAAUAUGUUUUUAGUUUGCUCACGACUGGAGUGUGAAUUCUGCUUGCUGUUUGUUUGUGGAAGCUAGAAUACCAUUUCAGUUGGUUUGGAAAUUUGUGUAUGAGAAGAUUCAUAUAGGUUUGAUAGAGAUAACAAGAGAUCAGUAAAUUUUCCUUUGUCUUCCCUAUUGGACUAAUCCUUACUUGCAAGGCGGGGUUCAAAUUCUCCUCUGUCUAAUAGUGUAGGAAUGUCCAUGCCCUCAGUGUUACUCGGGCUUCGAACUGAAAUUGGAUAGGAAUGGAAGGGAUUCUGGUAUACUGCCAAUUCUUGUUAUACUGCCUUGGCCUGAUGAAAUAUUUCAGCCAAAUAGUUGAUUAUUUAAACAUCUGAACCAUUCCCAUGCAAAUAAAGUCUGCUCUUGGUAUCUAUGGUUAUUUUAAUGAAUUGGUUCUGAGUGGUACAGUGUUAAGGCAUGUUUAUGAAUAAGGUGAUGAGAAGACUAGUAACAGAGAGGAACUUGUAGCACUAUUAGGAAUGAUAGGAAAAUUUGAGGUUAGAUGGAACAUGAGGAGGUUAGGUAGCCCAAACUCCUACUUAAACCAAGGUCAGCACUGAAAUGAGACUCUGCUUUAUCUACUCUGGUUUUGAAAUCCUUCAGAGAUGGAGACUGGACAGCCUCACUGGCAACCUCUUUUGUUAUCUGACUGCUUUAAUGUUGAAAAUCUUUCCAGUCUGAAUCACUGCUGUUUCAACUUCAUGUCUGAUAUCUCUUGUCUUCUCACCAGCUACCACUUAUAAAGAAUGUGUAUCCAUCUUCUCGAUGAUCGCCUUGUAGGUAGGGGAAGGGUGCUGUUAGUUACCACCCCCAAAGACUGUUCUUUUCCAGAUGUGAACAAACACAGUGCCCAGAGUGUCUCCUUACAAUGCCAUUGUUCUAACUCUCUGACCAUCUUUGUAGUUCUUCACUGAGAUUGCUCCAAUUGACUGGUGUAUCUGUCUUCUUGAAGGGGUACAAAGUGAGAGCAGUUUUAUUAAAUGCAGCAUGAUUUAAUUCUGAGUAGGGGAGGAUAAUUGUGGAAUCACAGAAUAUCCUGACUUG
ensembl:lncRNA